AUGUGGACGCAGACCGAGAUGGAGAAGCAGAUGUUCUCGUGGUCACUUGAGGAGGUGCGCAACAGGAAUCUUCUCAAGAAAAAGGUUAAGAAGGUACCAAGAACUUUCACUUCACUAGAGGAGUACAUGGGAUCAUUUACCCUACCACUGAUUGAAGAAACUCGUGCCGAUCUCUACUCUGCGCUGGAGUGUAUCAAACACGCACCAGCCACCGAAGUGAAACGGAUCAACGAGCUUUGUUCAAAGCAGUCCAUCUUCAGCAUCUUGGUCAAGAAGGCUGACCCUAUGAACACAAACCCGGGGGAAGUUUAUGCCCUCAAGGAUGCAGACAUACUUGUGUUCUUGGAUCGGAAGCCGAGGCACAUCUCGGACUUGGGUCGCAGCAAGGUGCCCUACGUGAUUGCCUCGGUACUGAAAGCAGAGGAUGCCAACGGCAAUGCGAUAGUGAGGCUGUCAGGCGGGAAACGAGACCUGGUGCCGCCCCUCGUCGCGGUGUUCCUGAUCAACAUGACAACGUACAAUCGUAUAUGGAAUGCACUGGACAUGCAUGUUGCUGGCCUUAGCAACACCAGCAUCAUUGAGAAGAUUGUCAAUUAUGCACCAAAGGAUGACAGUUCAGAACUACCUCUACAUUUGCCAGACAGAUCACUUGGCCUUGAGAAAUUUAGGCUAAACAAGUCACAGCAGAUGGCAGUACUUGACUGUGUUUCAGCAAUGGAGCAGCAGGGUACAUAUCCGGUGCGUCUGAUAUGGGGGCCUCCCGGCACAGGGAAGACGAAGACGAUCAGCACCCUCCUGUUGUCCAUGAUGGUCAAGAACCACAGAACGCUGACCUGCGCUCCGACCAACACUGCGGUGGUGGAGGUGGCUUCUCGGAUCCUCAGCCUCAUCGAGGAAUCCUCCGCCGGCGGUGGAAAUGGCUGCUUUCUGAGUGAUGUUGUGCUGUUCGGAAACGAGGACCGGAUGAACGUCGACCAGGACCUCACGAAGAUCUUCCUGGAGAAGCGUGUUCGCCGUCUCCAGAAGUGCUUGAUGCCAAGUUCAGGGUGGACCAGUUGCCUGAGCUCCAUGGUACGGAUUCUCGAGGAACCUUUGGUUCAGUAUGCUUCCUACGUUGAGGAGACUAAAAGGCUGAUCGAGGAACUUGCCAAGAAGGAAAAGGAGGAACUUGCGAAGAAGAAGGCGAAGAACAAAGUGGUGGAGGUGAAGGAGGAUCUUACUAAGAAGGAAGCAGAUAAGAAGAGCAUAAAGAUACAGUCGUUCAAAGAAUAUUUCAUGAGUAGCUACAAACGAAUCGAGGAUGAUCUGCGCACCUGCAUCGAUACUUUCUGCGACGAUCUCCCAAGAUCCGCCACAUCUAGACAGAAUUUCCGUUGCAUGACGGAGGUUCUGCACCUGCUUACAGACUUUGGGAAACAAGUGCAGUCCGAACCAGAGAAGCAGCUGCAGACGCUGUUCAGAGAUACGUCGGACGGGAAGAACAGCUGCCUGUUUCAGAGUCUGGUGUCAUACGCGGAAGACAGCGUGCGCUCAGAGCUUAAGCAGGCGAGAGCCCAGUGCAUCGAGAAGCUGAAUUACCUGUCCAACAACUUCGACCUCCCGGACAUUUUCGACAAGCGGUCCAUCGAGGAGUUCUUGCUGCAGAAGAGCAAGAGCGUGCUCUGCACCGCGUCCAGCUCCGCCCGCCUGCACUACCUGCAGAAGGCGGAGCCGUUCGACAUCCUCGUCGUCGACGAGGCGGCGCAGCUCAAGGAGUGCGAGUCGAUGAUACCUCUGCAGAUUCCUGGGAUCCGGCUCGCUGUUCUCAUCGGCGAUGAAUACCAGCUGCCGGCGCUCGUGAAGAGCCAGGUGUGCUAUGAAGCCGACUUCGGGAGGAGCCUGUUCGAGAGGCUGAGUUCGCUGGGGCACCCCAAGCACCUUCUUAAUGUGCAGUACAGGAUGCACCCGGGGAUAAGCAAGUUCCCGGUCUCGAGCUUCUACGGCGGCCAGAUCGACGACGGUGAGAACGUCCUGCGCAGAGACUACGAGCGCAAGCACCUGACCGGCCCGAUGUACGGGUCCUACUCCUUCAUCAACAUCGAAGGUGGAAAGGAGAGCUCCGGCAAGCACGACAAGAGCCUCAUCAACACCAUCGAGGUCGCCGCCGUGACCCGGAUCGUGCAGAGGCUCUUCCGAGAGUCGGUGGAGACGAGGAGGAAGCUGAGCGUGGGCGUGGUGUCGCCGUACAAGGGCCAGGUCCGCGCCAUCCAGGAGAAGCUGGGCAAGACGUACGAGACGCACGGCGGGUUCUCGGUGAAGGUCCGGUCGGUGGACGGGUUCCAGGGCGCCGAGGAGGACAUCAUCAUCUUCUCCACCGUGCGGAGCAACAGCACCGGCUCCGUCGGCUUCCUCAACAACGUGAACCGCACCAACGUGGCGCUCACACGGGCCAAGCACUGUCUGUGGAUCGUGGGGAACGCGACCACGUUGGUGAGCAGCAAGACGGUGUGGCAGAAGAUAGUGGCGGACGCCAAGGAGAGGGGCUGCUUCUUCAACGCCAACGACGACACGGACCUAUCGGGCGCGAUCGUCAAGGCCGUCAUCGAGCUCGAUGAAGUGGAGAGCGCGCUGAGCAUGGAGAUGGGCAACCUCCGCAUCGGCGGGUCACGGUCUGGGGUACGCAACAACCUAGCCCGUGCACAAAUCCUAGUGCCAAUUAGCUGA
rnacentral:rRNA from 1 species